AAAGUCGUAACAAGGUUUCCGUAGGUGAACCUGCGGAAGGAUCAUUAGCAAGUUCGAGGACGCUCCAAUCCUGACCCCUCCCGGGGGGGAAGGCCGAAGGCGUUCCGACGAAAGGGAAGUCGAAGCGGUCGAUGUCCUCGCCGCUUCGCCAGUCCGCAAACCCUCUCGGUGUACCUUACCCCUGUUGCUUUCCCGGGCGCCAAACCGCCCGGGAAAAGACCGAAGCCAACCUUGUAAUUAGUCGUCUGAUCCGGAUGGCUAGCACGCCGUCCGAAGAAUCCAAAAAGUUUAAAACUUUCAACAACGGAUCUCUUGGUUCUC
rnacentral:misc_RNA from 1 species